rnacentral:misc_RNA from 1 species
UCUCCGUAGGUGAACCUGCGGAGGGAUCAUUAACACGUUUAUAACAAACGUUUAUCAACCAAAACCGUGAACAUAUAAAACACAACUCCCUUCACAUAUGUGACGUACGAACAACCAUCAGAGUGGAGUGUGGGCGAUAACAUUCGUUAUCCUCACAACUAUGGCUCGUCUAGGGUUCAUCGAGACCCAAUCCUAUGUGAAGUGUAUUUGCGACCACCUGGUAGUUUGUCUACAUUUCAGUUCUACCCGAAUUGAUCUAAGUAGCUUUCUGCCGAAUUUUUUAACACAAUGUUUAACCCCAUUAAAAACAUAAUAUAAACUGAACCAUUUUUUCAAAAAUAAACUUUAAUUAGUUUUAUUUAUGGAAAAGAUAUACGUAAUGCUGAACAACUCUUAGCAAUGGAUAUCUUGGUUCUC